UGUUUUGCAUGCUUAAAGACUACAAUAAAUUGCUACCAAAUUACUCGAUUUUCAAUUUAGCCAGUUCACCCCCUAAAUUGACACACCCUACUUGAGUGUCCAGACCCAUAUAUUAUGACGGCACCAAUGACAACUGAUGAAACACAGCUGACCUGUGGGAGGUGUUUCGCAUAUUAUCCGAGUCAACAGAAGGAGUUCGUCUUUACGAUCAGCUCCUUCCGACCAUCUCCGAGAUGUCAUCCGGAGAGUUGAAGUUUGCUCUUGCCAUCCGGUCUCUUCUCCAGAGUAUCGUCAGAGGUACAAUGAUUUAUAUUAAGAAUAUCUUCAAUAUAAUUAGCCCUAGCAUUUCAAGUGGAUGAAUGUUUAAUUAGUAAGAAUCAUGAUACCACUUAAAAAGUUGUCAAUUUGCUUUAAAAGGGUAUUUGUGGGGGAUAAAUGUAAAGGUGUACAUAUAAAUG